rnacentral:rRNA from 1 species
UGCAGAAUCCCGUGAACCAUCGAGUUUUUGAACGCAAGUUGCGCCCCAAGCCUUUGGGUCGAGGGCACGCUUGCCUGGGCGUCACGC